UACGUAGGGAGCAAGCGUUGUCCGGAAUCAUUGGGCGUAAAGCGCGCGUAGGUGGCCUCAUAAGUCCGCUGUGAAAGUCAAAGGCUCAACCUUUGAAAGCCGGUGGAUACUGUGGGGCUAGAGUACGGAAGAGGCGAGUGGAAUUCCUGGUGUAGCGGUGGAAUGCGCAGAUGUCAGGAGGAACACCAAUAGCGAAGGCAGCUCGCUGGGACGUUACUGACACUGAGGCGCGAAAGCGUGGGGAGCGAACAGG
rnacentral:rRNA from 1 species